ACUUCUUGAGUAUCUCCGUACAUUUGUCUUCCAAACAAAAAGCUUAAUAUAAAUUAAAAGAAGUA
rnacentral:tRNA from 1 species